rnacentral:rRNA from 1 species
UACGGAGGGUGCAAGCGUUAUCCGGAUUCACUGGGUUUAAAGGGCGCGUAGGCGGCCAUGCGUGUCUUCCGUGAAAUCCCUCGGCUUAACUGAGGACGUGCGGAAGAAACUGCAAGGCUCGAGUCCGGGAGAGGGGGGUGGAAUUCCCAGUGUAGCGGUGAAAUGCGUAGAUAUUGGGAGGAACACCGGUGGCGAAGGCGGCCCCCUGGACCGGUACUGACGCUGAGGCGCGAAAGCGUGGGUAGCAAACGGG